rnacentral:piRNA from 1 species
UUCUAAGGAUGAGAUUAAAGGCGUGCA